UUUUUUUUUUGUAAUUGUCACUUUAACAAAAUAUACUAACAAUUGUAUUGUAUAAUGGUUCUUCACAUCCAAGACCAUCUAAUUUUUCCUUUCAUUCUUCAAAGUUAGGUGCAUUAUUUUUUUAAUCAGUAACUCUAAAACAACACUCAUCUCCUCAUCAAUUUUCAAGUAACACGAAGAUAGUUUUCUUUUCAUCCCAAAACUAUUCUUUCAGUCGAAAUUGAAAAUUGGGAUGAAUAAUUAUUACGAGCUCCAUCAUUUUGUCACCAACUAGAUCUUCGACUCUAUCAAGUGUGUCUAUAUCUAUAAUAGUAGAUAAAGAAUAGACACCAGGUCUACAAUUUGGACUUCAAUCAUAAACUCUUGUUGCAGUAGAACCUUCAAAAAGUUUUGUACACAAAAUUUGAAAGGGUAAAGGUGAAGUGUUCUUGACAAACAUCAGUACACCCCAAAAAAAUUAUCAAUAUAAAAAAAUAGUUGUAAAGAUUAUGAAAACUUACUAGUUCAAAGAGAAAAAUAAUGGUGUUAAAUGGAGAAAGAAAGGAACAAAGUUUGUAGCGAGAGAGAACAAAGCCGCGCAAAGAGAAAGAAAAGCGAUUGAUUAUUUAUAGCGAAUUAAAUAAGUCUGAAUGGUAUUAAAACUCUCCUAUAGAUCUGAUUCCUUCCGAGCUUUUCAAAUCCAUUAAGAGAUUUUUUUUAAAAAAGAAACGGUUACGCCCUAUCUUAAGAUUAGAAGUCCACAUCCGAAAAACACAGAAGAGAUGUUGGGUAUAUAAGUAAGCAGGUUUUACCAUUUAAUGAUGUGUUUUAAAGUCGUGUGGGCCUAGACCCAAAAAGAGAACAAUAUCACUAGCAGUCUGAGCCGUUACAAAUGGUAUCAAAGCAUUUAAGGGUGAUAUUUUAGAUAUGUUUAAUAUAAAUAGGGAAAAAAGUCUGAAAAAUACUUUCAACUUUGGCUGAAAUUGUUGUUAUGAUACCAAACUUUAUGGAUGACCUUUUACCCUUGCACUAUGUAAUAGUGUAUUUUAAAGGUAUAUUUAUAAUUAUGCAAUAUUUAUGAUGUCCACGUGGGCACAUAUAUACCUUUAAAAUACACUAUUAAAUAGUGCAGGGGGUAAAAGGUCCUUUCCAAGAGUUUGGUAUCGUUACAACAAUUUUGGUCAAAAUUUGAAUAUAUUUCAGACAUUUUCCCCAUAUAAAUAUGAUGAAAAGAUCGGGCCAAAACACACCUAAUUUGGCUAAGCACCAUAAUGAGUAAUUAAAUUCAAUUUUAUCCUCAUCGAAUCUAGUAAAAUAUAUAUAAUCGUAAAGUUUCACAUAACUUUUUUAAUUAUAAAUUUACGUCAUAUUUAUAGUUUGGGAUAAGGGUUUGAAAAAUAUUUCAACUUUGGUCGGAUUUUCUGUUGGGAUAAUAAACUUUCAUGAGGAUCUAUUACCUCCCUAAACUAUUUAGGGAAAAGGGACAAAUAUACCCCCGAACUUUCAAAAAUGGUAUGUCAAUACCCUUCGUCAUACUUUUCGUCCAUCAAAGCCCUUGUUGUCCAAUAAUCAAUACAUAUUUACCCCUCCCACUAACGGAACACUUAUUGUGUACACGUGGCGCAAUCUUAUGCCACAACCCGAAUUGACCAAUUUUUUAACCCAAAUUUCAAAAUCCACCCAUAACCCAUUUAACCCACCCGAUUUACCCACAAAUAAACUCUCUAAAAUCCUAAAGAAGAAUGGAAAUCCUUAUUGAAUUCAUCAACAUGAACCCUAAUAGUAUCCUUAUCAACAUUAACAUCAUUUUUAAUCUUCUUCGCAUUUUAGUAAUCCAUAUAUGGCACCGCCGACCACGGCAGCGGAGGUGGCGACGGAGGCUAAGGAUAAGGAUUUCGGAAAGGAGGAGUUAGUAAAGGAUAAGGAUUUCAGGAAAGAGGAGGUGUUGUAGAAGCUGCAGGUAAGGAGUAGGUUGGGUGGGGAGGUGGUGGGGGAAGGGUAGGAAAGGGCGGAGCAAUAGAAGAAGACGGCGGCGGCAGCAGCGGAGGAGGAGAGUGGUGGAGGUGAUGAUUUUGAUGCCUUUUACUCCAUGAAAUUUUCAUUUUUUCUUCCUUGCAGGAACUAGAGGAACAGUAGUAGAAGAAUUCUGAAGAAAUCAACCGAAGAAUUAGAGAAGAAGAAUGAUGGAAAAUAUGGGACCCAUGUUGUUAAGGGAAAUUGAUUAGGAAGUUAAGUUGUUGAAAAAAUAAUUUCAAAAAUUAAGUUUUACCAAAACAAUCCAUUAAUUAAUAGGAGUAUUACAAUAAAAUUCCUAUUACAAUCAUAUUUUUUUAAAUGUGUGUAAAGUUUAACAUAAAUAAAUAAAUUUUAGGAUUUUUCUUUAGGAUUUCAAAGAGUUUAUUUGUGGGUAAAUCGGGUGGGUUAAAUGGGUUAUGGGUGGAUUUUGAAAUUUGGGUUAAAAAAUUGGUCAAUUCGGGUUGUGGCGUAGGAUUGCGACACGUGUACACAAUGAGUGUUCCGUUAGUGGGAGGGGUAAAUGUGUACUGAUUAUUGGAUGGCAAGGGCUCUAGUGGACGAAAAGUAUAACGGAGGGUAUUGACAUACCAUUUUCAAAAGUUCGGGGGGUAUAUUUGUCCCUUUUCCCAACUAUUUAAUACCAUAUUUUAAACAUAUAUAUUUGCCCACGUGGACAUAAAAAAUAAUGCAAAAUUAUAAAUAGUAAUGUGUCCACGUGGGCACAUAUAUAUCUUUAAAAUACACUAUUAAAUAGUUCAGGGGGUGAAAAAAUACGGUAUUAAAUAGUCUAGGGAGGUAAUAGGUCCUUAUGAAAGUUUAGUAUCGCAACAACAAAUCCGACCAAAGUUGGGGUAUUUUUCAGACCCUUAUCCCUUAUAGUUUACAUAACUUGUAAAUUAUGCCAUAUAUAUUUGAACGUCUUCUAAAUUUUCGUUAAUGCAUAAGGUAGUAAUUCUAUUUUAGGAAAUCGACAUUUAUCAAGUUUUCUGAACUUGACUCUUUUUUAAUUCCUACAUGAAUUUUGUGCUUGUCAAUGGUAUAUAGGGAUGUCAAUGAGGUGGUGCGGGGCGGGGGCGGGUUGAGCUUAAUCCGUAAUUUUUUUAAUUUGCCACGCUUUGCCCCGCUCCGCAUAAUAUUUUUUUUCAUUCUCAACCAGCCCCACCCCGCCCCGCAUUGACCCGUUCCGCAUCAACCCGCCCACGCAUAAGUUUUUUAAUAUUUUCUUGUUCUAGUUAAGUUUGAUACUAAAAAUAAAAUUCAUAAAAAUAAAUUUAUUUUUUCAUUAACUUGUAUUAAUUUAAUAGGGAUAAGGAUCUGAAAAAUACCCCAACUUUGGUCGGAUUUGCUUAUUGCGAUACUAAACUUUCAUGAGGACCUAUUACCUCCCUAGACUAUUUAAUACCGUAUUUUAAACAUAUAUAUUUGCCCACGUGGACAUAAAAAAUAAUGCAAAAUUAUAAAUAGUAAUGUGUCCACGUUGGCACAUAUAUACCUUUAAAAUACACUAUUAAAUAGUUCAGGGGGUAAAAAUACGGUAUUAAAUAGUCUAAGGAGGUAAUAGGUCCUCAUGAAAGUUUAGUAUCGCAACAACAAAUCCGACCAAAGUUGGGGUAUUUUUUAGACCCUUAUCCCAAUUUAAUAGGAUAGAUACUUAAAUUUUUAUUUUUUAGAGGUCAAUUGGAAAACAGGUAAGAAAUUGAAUUAUUUUCUAUUGAACCGUUUUCAUUUACUAUCUUGAAUAUUUUAGUAGCUUUAAAGAAAUUAUCUUAAUAAAUAAUGUUCUAUCACUCUUAUAACAUGUAAAAAAUUAGAUUUAAAUUUAAACCCACAUAAAAUCACAUAUACCUGCAACCCGCCCCGCCGCGCAUUAGUGUUUAAAAAAUUUACUUCAACCCGCCCCACAUAGCCUUAAACCCGUCCCACCCCACCCCACAUCCACCCCGUCUCAUUGCCAUCCCUAAUGAUAUAAGAUCUGAUAUUUGAUGCUUAAUCAAUUUAUAAUGUAGUUUAAAUUUCUUAGAUUCCGUAUCUUCACCAAGAUAUCUCAGCAUGCAAUUUUGUGUUCUACAUGACAAUUCACGUCCUAAGUAACGCGUGUGUUUACUGGUUUAACUUUAUAUAAAUUUAAAUGUAUAUUUAUAUACACCAAAGGUUGGAGGGCGCAGAUGCAUGCCAACUAAGUGAAAUUAAAGAACACACAUGUAUUAUGCCUAAAAAAAAAGAGUAACUCAAUGCACAAAGCAUAGGGUUCACGUAAGGUCCAAAGAAGAGCCCACAUCUUAAGGGGGGUGAUGUGGACAUUGCUACACUAAUGCAAGCAUUAGUGUGUGCUUCCACGGCUUCGAACCCAUGACCUAUACGACAGAGCCAACUUUACCAUUGUUCUAAUGCUACUAUUCAAGAAAGGUAGAAAUGUUUUGUUUAAUUUUUUUGAGAGAAACUUUAAUCUUUCCAAAAUUAAGCCUACAACAAAUUGGAGCUGCUACAAUAAAUUACAAUAUCUGAUUAUUUGAGCCAAAAAUUUGUAUUAUGCACAACAUAUUUGCAGAGUUCUGAAGAAUAAGAACAGUUAAAGAACCAAAGCUUAUCUAAGCCUCAAAUUUUUCUAACAACAAAGACUCAAUGACUAGAAGGUCAAAUCUACUUUCUUGAUAUAUAUAUAUAACAGAGACUUUAAGCAUUUAUAUAUUGCUGCAAAAACUUUGUUCUUUUCUUGUUC
rnacentral:lncRNA from 1 species